rnacentral:tRNA from 1 species
GCCCCUGUAGCUCAGAGGCCAGAGCGAUUGCCUCGUAAGCAAUAGGUCGCGAGUUCAAUUCUCGCCAGGGGCU